UUAAUUGAAGCCAAAAAGAGGCUUAUCACUGUUAAUGAUAAAAUUGAGUUAAACUCCAGUUAAG
rnacentral:tRNA from 1 species